UGGGGAAUUUUGGACAAUGGGCGAAAGCCUGAUCCAGCAAUGCCGCGUGUGUGAAGAAGGCCUUCGGGUUGUAAGGCACUUUUGUCCGGAAAGAAAUCCUUGGCUCUAAUACAGUCGGGGGAUGACGGUACCGGAAGAAUAAGCACCGGCUAACUACGUGCCAGCAGCCGCGGUAAUACGUAGGGUGCAAGCGUUAAUCGGAAUUACUGGGCGUAAAGCGUGCGCAGGCGGUUUGCUAAGACCGAUGUGAAAUCCCCGGGCUCAACCUGGGAACUGCAUUGGUGACUGGCAGGCUAGAGUAUGGCAGAGGGGGGUAGAAUUCCACGUGUAGCAGUGAAACGCGUAGAGAUGUGGAGGAAUACCGAUGGCGAAGGCAGCCCCCGUGGGCCAAUACUGACGCUCAUGCACGAAAGCGUGGGGAGCAAACAGGAUUAGAUACCCUGGUAGUCCACGCCCUAAACGAUGUCAACUAGUUGUUGGGGAUUCAUUUCCUUAGUAACGUAGCUAACGCGUGAAGUUGACCGCCUGGGGAGUACGGUCGCAAGAUUAAAACUCAAAGGAAUUGACGGGGUCAUAGCUGUUUCCU
rnacentral:rRNA from 1 species